rnacentral:rRNA from 1 species
AUUGAACGCUGGCGGAAUGCUUUACACAUGCAAGUCGAACGGUAGAGGGGGCAACCUCUCGAGAGUGGCGAACGGGUGAGUAAUAUAUCGGAACGUGCCCAGUCGUGGGGGAUAACGUAGCGAAAGUUACGCUAAUACCGCAUACGAUCUACGGAUGAAAGCGGGGGACUCGCAAGAGCCUCGCGCGAUUGGAGCGGCCGAUAUCAGAUUAGGUAGUUGGUGGGGUAAAGGCUCACCAAGCCAACGAUCUGUAGCUGGUCUGAGAGGACGACCAGCCACACUGGAACUGAGACACGGUCCAGACUCCUACGGGAGGCAGCAGUGGGGAAUUUUGGACAAUGGACGCAAGUCUGAUCCAGCCAUUCCGCGUGCAGGAUGAAGGCCCUCGGGUUGUAAACUGCUUUUGUACGGAACGAAAAGGUUUCCAUUAAUACUGGGGACUCAUGACGGUACCGUAAGAAUAAGCACCGGCUAACUACGUG